rnacentral:rRNA from 1 species
UAGAGUUUGAUCCUGGCUCAGAACGAACGCUGGCGGCAUGCCUAAUACAUGCAAGUCGAACGCGCCUAGCGAUAGGCGAGUGGCGGACGGGUGAGUAACGCGUGGGAACCUGCCCUUGAGUGCGGGAUAACCGAGGGAAACUUCGGCUAAUACCGCAUGCGCCCCGGGCAACUGGGGGAAAGAUUUAUCGCUCGAGGAGGGGCCCGCGUCGGAUUAGCUAGUUGGUGGGGUAAUGGCCUACCAAGGCGAUGAUCCGUAGCUGGUCUGAGAGGAUGAUCAGCCACACUGGGACUGAGACACGGCCCAGACUCCUACGGGAGGCAGCAGUAGGGAAUAUUGGACAAUGGGGGCAACCCUGAUCCAGCAAUGCCGCGUGAGUGAUGAAGGCCUUAGGGUUGUAAAGCUCUUUCGCACGCGACGAUGAUGACGGUAGCGUGAGAAGAAGCCCCGGCUAACUUCGUGCCAGCAGCCGCGGUAAUACGAAGGGGGCGAGCGUUGUUCGGAAUUACUGGGCGUAAAGGGCGCGCAGGCGGCCGAUCAAGUCAGGCGUGAAAGCCCGGGGCUUAACCUGGGAAUUGCGCUUGGGACUGAUGGGCUUGAGUUCGGGAGAGGAGAGUGGAAUUCCCAGUGUAGAGGUGAAAUUCGUAGAUAUUGGGAAAACACCGGUGGCGACGCGGCUCGCUGGACCGAUACUGACGCUGAGGCGCGAAAGCGUGGGAGCAAACACGAUUAGAUACCCUGGUAGUCACGCUGUAACGAUGUGCGCUAGACGUUGGAGGCGUAGCUUCGCUGUCGCAGCUACGCUUUAGCGCAUCGCUGAGGUAGUACGCGCAGGUAAUACUCAAUGCAUCGACGGGGCCGCCUAGCGUCGAGCCAUGUGUCCAGUCCACCACGGCGAUGACCUUACAG